rnacentral:lncRNA from 1 species
UUAUCAUUAACAAAAAUACAUCAAGAAUAUCAACUAAAUAUCAAUCAAAAAAUCUGAUUUUGACAUAGUUUAAAUUGGAUCUAAUCCAUAUCAUAAUAAUAAUAUGAAAUUUGAUUUAAUUAAUCAAAGAUGACUUUGAUACCACUGUUAGAUUCUGAUGAUGUAGUGGAAUAUAAAUUUUAAAAAUUUUUAUAUGCAUUCAAUAAUUGAAAAUAAGUCUAACAAUUAAACUAGACUACCGAAAUACAAAAAUCCUAGGAACACCUUGAUGAUUGCAAUCAAAUAACAUAAUUAUAUAUAACAAAAA